rnacentral:rRNA from 1 species
GACGAACGCUGGCGGCGUGCUUAACACAUGCAAGUCGAACGGAAAGGCCCUGCUUUUGUGGGGUGCUCGAGUGGCGAACGGGUGAGUAACACGUGAGUAACCUGCCCUUGACUUUGGGAUAACUUCAGGAAACUGGGGCUAAUACCGGAUAGGAGCUCCUGCUGCAUGGUGGGGGUUGGAAAGUUUCGGCGGUUGGGGAUGGACUCGCGGCUUAUCAGCUUGUUGGUGGGGUAGUGGCUUACCAAGGCUUUGACGGGUAGCCGGCCUGAGAGGGGGACCGGCCACAAUGGGACUGAGAUACGGACCAGACUCCUACGGGAGGCAGCAGUGGGGAAUAUUGCACAAUGGGCGGAAGCCUGAUGCAGCAACGCCGCGUGCGGGAUGACGGCCUUCGGGUUGUAAACCGCUUUCGCCUGUGACGAAGCGUGAGUGACGGUAAUGGGUAAAGAAGCACCGGCUAACUACGUG